CUUGUCUCUCGGGAGCUUCCUCAGCUCUGGGCUUCGGGACACACUCGUCUACAACAAGACAUCGAAACGGUUUGAGAGUGGUACUGCCGAAAACAACCGUUCACCUUUCGGUGUGGCGUUUUGCGUCUGCAUCUUCAAGCACUUGAAGAAGAUGGUGAUGACGUCGGAGACAGGAGACGACAACUUACCUACACUGAGUGAACGAUUGCGUUGUUCCCUGAUGCUCGACCGCCUGUAUUCGCUCCUGACAAAGAAAAAGUAUG